CCGUGAUGAAGGAACGUCUGGCUCUGCUUUGACUCAAACCAUCUCAGAGGAGUGAAGAGAUUCAAACGAAGUGGCCAGUUUAGACACGUGGUUGAGAGAACCCACAAAAAGGUUUCCAGGGGAAAGCCCACCAGCCCAACCGUAGGAGGACGUCCAGCUCCUGCUGCUGUGAGAACAAGGAGCCCAAUCAUGACACUUCUGCCGCCGUGCUGCAGCACUUGAGAGAAACAGAAGGCUCUCCUUGAAACAGCAUUAAAGAUUGGUCGAGAUUUUACAGGAGAUGAAAGUGAGAGGAACAAAGCAGACAUCACAGCUGCUGCCGCUCAGGUCUGGACCCCAGCAGUGACAGAACCCCCCCGGGAUGGAGCGGAACCAACCGCGUGGAUCCGGAUCCCGGUUUCCUUCAGAUGACCUCCAGAGACCCGAACCCGUCCUGACACGGAGCCGGUUCUACACCAGAGCUCCGCGUGCGCUUACCUGCCUCGCUAAGAGGGGCAUCAGAAUCCAGACUUUGAGGACCACUUUCCUAACCAACCGGCCACUGGAGCUUCUUAUUGGCCAAACACACCUGCUCCAAGUAAUCAGAUGAGUCAGGAUUUCUGGAAAACCAACAGGAGGGCAACCCUUUAGGCCUGGAGUUUGACACCUCUGAUCUCCAUCUCUCUCCUGGUAGCUCCAACCUCAGCAUCCUUUUACCAACAUCAUCAUUGCCCUUCCUCUCAGCGUGUCCAGAUAAUCUGCAUCACCAUCUAUCCUCGUCACUCCCAAAGAGAACCUCAACAUCUUCCCACUCUGGGUCUUUCUCUGAACUGAAGGGUGGGCAUCUCCAGUCUUCUCCAUCCUUCCUUUCAUUCAUGCUACUCCUUCCUCUGGGGAGAAGUUCCAGCCUGACUUCAUUUCAGCUGCUGUCAGAAAUUAGGAGUGAGCCAGUCGAUACAAAAUUUGUCAUUUAAUGCAACAUAACUGUGACUGAAUUACAAUUAAUCUCAUGGAAAUAAAUCACCAAACUGACAGGAUGUUUCAUACAUGUAUAUAUAUUACAAUGUGACUUGUUAUAUAAUACAGUCAGGAUCUGUUUUUAAUAAAAAUAAGCACUGGAGGAGAACGGUGAUGCUUCUCGAUUUUAUUGUAAAUCGGACAUUAUGCACAUUUAGCAACUUCUGACUUGUUAAUGAAGCUUGUUAUGUGGUCACAGGACUCUGCACUGAGAGCUCAGGCGAGUCAAACCAAAAAAAAGGCAAUUCAGCCAGGAGCACUGAGAGCUGAAGAUCUGACAUCCAGGACAGAUGAGGGGGAGUACCAAAACGAAAGGACAAGAAGGUUGUGUGGCCGACAGUGGUGGCUGCUUGUGCCGAAGAUACGAGUCAGUGAUGACGAAACCUGCUUCCCUCUUUUGCUUGUAGGGCUCUCUAUGGAACAACAGGAGUGAUGUGGAGCUUUUCGCUCUUUUUUUAAAUAACUGGUUUCAAAAAUCUCAAAUGAAAACCGUUUCUCAUCGGGACAAAGUCGAGGUCUGGUCUCACUGACACAAGAAAUAUUGCACACAUGAUACUGGAUUUUUCAGGGUGUUUUUGCAUACAAGUGUCUGCUCUCUUUCCUAUGUCUGUCAAUGUUCCUUAAGUUUAGCUGUAGCUGAUGAAUCCAAUCACUGGGGGGGGUGUCUGUGUCAUUCUAUGUGUAAUGUGACAUCACAUUCAGAGACCAAACUCUUCUUUGCUCCCAUUUUGUCUAAUUUUU